ensembl:snRNA U6 U6 spliceosomal RNA
ACUUAAUUUGCAUUAAAAGUACAUUUCCUCAUUGAAACCAUACAGAGAAGAUUAGCAUGGUCUCUGGGCAAGGAUGACUUGCAAAUUUGUGAAGUGGUCCUUAUUUUC